rnacentral:rRNA from 1 species
UGAACGACUCUCGGCAACGGAUAUCUCGGCUCUCGCAUCGAUGAAGAACGUAGCGAAAUGCGAUACCUGGUGUGAAUUGCAGAAUCCCGUGAACCAUCGAGUCUUUGAACGCAAGUUGCGCCCGAGGCCAUCCGGCUAAGGGCACGCCUGCCUGGGCGUCACGC